AACACAACCCCACCUUCCUGUCCUUUUCUAAACUGCUGCAAACAAUUUUUGUUUUUUUAAAGAAGAAGAGUGGCGAACCGUAUCGGCAGUAUCGGUGGCGCACGGCGGUGCCAUGGGUAGGUGGGGCAGCUGCCUAGGUCUUGGGCGGCGCCGUGGUUGGUGAUGGCGUUGAAGUUUCAGCCCGUGCUGCUCGGUGGCAGUGGUGGCCUCGGCUGUGUGGUGAACUCUCUAGGUUCCUCGAGGCAGUGUUGCGGGGCUGCACCGCUCUACGCCGGCAAUAGCGGUCUACGACGGCGUCACGAAUGAAGAUGCUUGAUUAUGUGCUUCAGAAUGAAGAUGCAUGAUUAUGUGCUUCAGGAGCUGCUAGUCGUACCAUAGAAGCAAUUAAUGAACCUCUUCUCGCUAUUUUAAUUUCAAGUGCAAUAAUCUGCUGGAGGUGUUUUCCAUUCAGACAAGUGAAGUUUUGCACCCUGCAAAUGUGCAGAUGUAUUCUGGAAGAAGAAAAGCAUACCCAGUCGCUCAUCUGUAAGUACCCUGAUAACAGUAGACUGAUAUUAAUACAUUUGAAAAUAUGGAAACACACAAAGAUCUUUGACAGCACAGUUAUGCUGAGAGGAGUUUCAAUCUAGGAGAGCUGCAGGCGGGUUGUCUUCUUUCUGAAUCAUAUUUUUGUUGCUUUCUCCCUACUCGGACUGUAUUGGAGUUCUCUCUGGAGUGUUGUGUAAUCAGCUCUGAGGUCAUGAGUAGAGUCCCAGUUCUGUUUUUCUCAAGAGCUGACCUUGUAAAUACUAGCUCCAUGUUUCUUAGAGAUUAUCUAUAAAUUAUUCCCUCUAUUUCA